rnacentral:rRNA from 1 species
UACGGGGGGGGCAAGCGUUGUUCGGAAUUACUGGGCGUAAAGGGCUCGUAGGCGGCCAACUAAGUCAGACGUGAAAUCCCUCGGCUUAACCGGGGAACUGCGUCUGAUACUGGAUGGCUAGAGUUUGGGAGAGGGAUGCGGAAUUCCAGGUGUAGCGGUGAAAUGCGUAGAUAUCAGGAGGAACACCGGUGGCGAAGGCGGGAUCCUGGGCCAGUACUGACGCUGAGGAGCGAAAGCGUGGGGAGCAAACAGG